rnacentral:rRNA from 1 species
GAUGAACGCUGGCGGCGUGCCUAAUACAUGCAAGUCGAGCGAACAGACGAGGAGCUUGCUCCUCUGACGUUAGCGGCGGACGGGUGAGUAACACGUGGAUAACCUACCUAUAAGACUGGGAUAAUUUCGGGAAACCGGAGCUAAUACCGGAUAAUAUAUUGAACCGCAUGGUUCAAUAGUGAAAGACGGUUUUGCUGUCACUUAUAGAUGGAUCCGCGCCGCAUUAGCUAGUUGGUACGGUAACGGCUUACCAAGGCGACGAUGCGUAGCCGACCUGAGAGGGUGAUCGGCCACACUGGAACUGAGACACGGUCCAGACUCCUACGGGAGGCAGCAGUAGGGAAUCUUCCGCAAUGGGCGAAAGCCUGACGGAGCAACGCCGCGUGAGUGAUGAAGGUCUUCGGAUCGUAAAACUCUGUUAUUAGGGAAGAACAAAUGUGUAAGUAACUAUGCACGUCUUGACGGUACCUAAUCAGAAAGCCACGGCUAACUACGUG